GCUGUAGCACAGUGGGUGGGAGGACAUCUGCCUCACAUGCAGAAGAUCCCAGGUUUAAUCCCCUGUCUGAAACC